AUUGAACGCUGGCGGCAGGCCUAACACAUGCAAGUCGAGCGGAUGAAGGGAGCUUGCUCCUGGAUUCAGCGGCGGACGGGUGAGUAAUGCCUAGGAAUCUGCCUCGUAGUGGGGGAUAACGUCCGGAAACGGGCGCUAAUACCGCAUACGUCCUGAGGGAGAAAGUGGGGGAUCUUCGGACCUCACGCUAUCAGAUGAGCCUAGGUCGGAUUAGCUAGUUGGUGGGGUAAAGGCCUACCAAGGCGACGAUCCGUAACUGGUCUGAGAGGAUGAUCAGUCACACUGGAACUGAGACACGGUCCAGACUCCUACGGGAGGCAGCAGUGGGGAAUAUUGGACAAUGGGCGAAAGCCUGAUCCAGCCAUGCCGCGUGUGUGAAGAAGGUCUUCGGAUUGUAAAGCACUUUAAGUUGGGAGGAAGGGCAGUAAGUUAAUACCUUGCUGUUUUGACGUUACCAACAGAAUAAGCACCGGCUAACUUCGUG
rnacentral:rRNA from 1 species